GCGACCCCAGGUCAGGCGGGAUCACCCGCUGAGUUUAAGCAUAUC
rnacentral:rRNA from 4 species